AUCCCGGUGGCAUCUCUUUCUGACGGUAUAAGCAAACAAACGGAGUUUACUCCUCUGUACCUGUGCACUUUGGACACAGGAAGGAGUCACCUCUUCUAAUAACCCUGACUGGGGAACAGAAUCCAAGGUGUACCCAGCCAUUGCAUUUAUCACAGCAUGCCCAAGAGACUAUGGUUAGACUGAUGCAAUUCUUGAGCUCCUCAGGAUGGAAUUUUUGACAAAUGCAGCACACAUCAGUGUCAUCUUCAGAUUCAGAAGAGGAAGAGUAUUCUGUCUGGGCUGCCUGAAUACCAGAUGUACUCGGAAUGGGUUCAGUGACGGAAGAGCCUUGCAUCAGUAUUGCAGUCAUCAACAGCCAGGGCCUGUUCUUGUUCAUGGUUCUCUGUGGUAUCAGGUGCUGGUCUAAAAACUGAAGCAGGUGCAAGAGCAGAAUCUGGCACUACAUUUGGGUUAAAUGGAUAUACCCCACAAUGUUUGAAGGCGGACUGGAUGUUACUUGCAGAAAGAGAAGAAGUGUAUGCCUUACAGCCAA